rnacentral:tRNA from 1 species
UCCCUGGUGGCUUAGAUGGUAAAGCAUCUGCCUGCAAGGCAGGAGACCUGGGUUCUAUCCCUGCGUUGGGAA